GAAGCACAGGGUGGAAGUCCCCUCCUUAUCCCCUUCUCCGUGUUCUCUGCAGGAGCCGCUGGGUUUCUGAGUAUGCAGACAGCUACAGCAUCUUCCUGAAGAGGCUGGACUGGUCAUCUCCCAUCUCUGCACAAUGGCUGCCCUUUGGGAAGGAUGCACGAUGGACACCGCGAUGGAGAGAGUCCACUCACUGAGUGGUGCUAGGGUGGCUGUGCUCUUUGGCCCUCCAAGCUGUGUGAUGUUGUUCAUCAGAGACCCUGAAAGCCUUGGAAACCUCAUCUCUACCAAACCUACCACCAUGUCUAUCAGAUGUGAAAAGUUUGCCAAAGACCUCCUUAAGUACAAAUUAUGAUUAAAAUCUCCCAAGAACCUCAGCUUUUAUCAUUGUCAGAAAAAGGUUUUUUUGCAGGGGGACAAUGAAGGCUACAGAGCUAAAACCAGUCAGGCAGUUUCCAUUUAUGUACUUUAAAGAAAACUUGGUGAUAAAACUUUGCCUCUCAGUGAGAAGUAGUGUGUGUUAAACAGCAUUGUUAGUGUUAAUUUACUCUAUAAAACCUUGUGUACUUACAGGGAGGGAAAUACCCAUGUUAUCCAGGGCAGCUGAGUGUCAGUCUUGCAGAGCUCCUUCCCCUCUACAUUUAACAACUUAUUCCAGGUUUUGACCAUUAAUUUCAGCUAAUGCUGGCUAAACGGGAAUUGAGUUUGCCGUGUCCGUUUGGGAUUUGUAGGUUUCUGGAAGGAUCAAGGCUGCUCCCAGCCUGAAGAUGGCAAUGGAGAGCCGCCGAUCCCAGACCUGGAAAGGGCUGACAGCCCUUCUGAUGUGGCUUUAGUGAUGCGACUGGGUCUUCUAAAUUGAUGCCAAAAUUAUCCCAGAGUAGGUGGUGUAGAGAAACCUCUCCCCGACUCCUAAAAGGUAUUCCUUUUAAAGGACAUCCUUGCAGUAUUGAGGGAUAAGCAAGACCUUUUUAACAAAUACAGCUAAAAUGUCAAAAAUAAUGAGAAAAGGAACUUAUUUUACAGUAAUAUCAACUAUCCCCAGACCUGCUGGUGGCAGGACCUAUGUAGACACAGCAGCACCUGCCCCAAGGAGUUCAUCAUCUAAAUUCUGUGGGAUUUAGCAAAAUGAUGUCUGGCAGGGCCAAGCUCCAAGCAGAUGAACGGGGAAGUAGAAUGGGCCAUAAUUUCUGCAAAUCUGCUCUGAUGUGGGGCAUUGCUGACCACAGCUCAUGCAGCAUUUGGGAUUUCCACUGUAGCUAAGUGUAGCUGACUUGUGGCAAUUUUAGAGGACAGAAAUAUUUAAGUUAAAAAAUAGAGAAAAAUACUUGCUUAUCUCAGAGAGGAGACAGAGUUUG
rnacentral:lncRNA from 1 species